GGGGCCGGGUGCCCCGCUUGGGAGAACCCGUCCCGGGACGGGGCGCCGUGAGGGGCUGGUCAGAGGGCUCGGCUGGCAGAGGGGCAGGCUGUUUUGGUGCUCUCAGAUGUCUGGCUGCCGAUCCCAAGGCAUUCCCAGUUGCUCUGAAAUGUUGUUUGGAAAGCAAACAGAAAGCCUGGAGAAAGGCUGUUGCCUGACGACUUCGUGGUCAGAUCUGCCUUCUCUCCUCUAAGGAUGGGACAUGGGGAAGCCGUGGACCAGCCCCAGCCCAAACCCGCAGACAGCUGCAGUAGCACCGAGUGGUGUGCUGGGGCCAAAUUUACGGCUUAGGGCAAAACAGGACCUGACUGUGAGCGAGAGAGGCUGGACCCCGGUGAAACCCACGGUGGAAGAAGCUGCCCCGUGGCCCACCGCCCUCCCAAGUCUUCACACCGCACAGCCGUCCCUAGGCAGGGACACAGCCCGGUGCUGCAGCCACUGCUGUUCAAAGGGACGUGGCCACGGAGACAUGGCCAUGGAGCCAGAGCUACGCUGUGCCAGCCUGGCUGUGCUCCCUUUGUGCCCUUCAGGUCCCCACCUAGUGCUGCACGCCGUCCGUGACAGCUGUGAGCCACAGCUCCACGAGGCUGAGCUUUGAUCCUUGAGGGUAUUAAAAAUGUCUGUGAUAAUUCAGUAAUAAAAUCAAUUCA